UACGUAGGCAGCAAGCGUUGUUCGGAAUUACUGGGCGUAAAGAGUGCGUAGGCGGUGCUCUAAGUCUGUUGUGAAAUCUCCCGGCUCAACUGGGAGGGUGCGGCGGAAACUGGAGUGCUCGAGUGUGGGAGAGGUAAGCGGAAUUCCUGGUGUAGCGGUGAAAUGCGUAGAUAUUGGGAGGAACACCAGUGGCGAAGGCGGCUCACUGGACCGGUACUGACGCUGAGGCGCGAAAGCGUGGGGAGCAAACAGG
rnacentral:rRNA from 1 species